AUCCUUUUUUUUUUAUUAAAAAAAUCUAACCCACAAUGCCAACAAUAUAACAUAACUUGCAUCAAGAACAUAAUACUAAAAUUUAACAUUCAACAUAUAAUAAUCAUGUCGUUAAAAUACAACCAUUGAACAUCCAAAAUACAAAUAAAAACAUCAUCAUAAUUAAUACUAAUCCAUUGUAACUUCACACAAACCUAGCUAGCUAGCUCCUAAUUUUUCUCAUCAGCAUCAUCAUAAUCUACCUCAGGAUUAUAUAGGUCAAGAAAACAAGUUGCCCAGCGGUCUCGCAAA
rnacentral:lncRNA from 1 species